UCGUAGUUCGAUACCAAUAGGCCUUCGGGCCAAUGCACCACAGCAGGCAGGCGACGGCACCCAGGGAGAAACCCAAGGGAGCAGGCUAGCGGAUUGGAAAGACACCCCGCGCGGGGAAAGAACCUCAGCAGACGACUGAAGAGACCAAGCAGGUCGAGAAAGCGGUCAAGUAGCCAGGUUGCUACGAGUUGCAGAGCGUCAUACCGACCUUGGCAAUAUUU
rnacentral:rRNA from 1 species